CACAGAAAACCAUAGAGAGCACUCUCCGAGGGAGAGCCAGCAUUUUGACAAGGCUGAAUGACAACGUAGGAGGACAGGGGUAGGAACUAUUGUAUGUUGUUGUCCUUCGACCUAGGCAGAUCUUGUGCUAGGUUGCUGAGAGCUGCCACAUUAAAAUAUCAUUUGAAAUUUAAAUUCCUUGUAAAACACUUAGAAAAUAGGGGUCAUAGAGCUGCUAAUGGAGAUUCUAGGGAAGGGGCUGUCACUAAAU
rnacentral:lncRNA from 1 species